CCGCCGGCUCGCCUUCCGAUCGCUGGACGGAAAGGGCCGAGCGCUCCCGGAAGGAGCCGAAGCGGCGGUGCAGGGGAAAGUCGAUGGCGGGAGGAGUGCGGCGGGAUAGGGGGGAGGAGGACGCGCGCCAGGGGUGGGGGGUCGAUGGUGCAAUAGAGCCGCUGCCUCCGCCCCGGCGGCCCGAGAGGCUCCAACCGCCCGCCGUCCCGCAGCUCGGAUCCUCCAAUCCUGCCCCUCCCCGCCCUGCAGAGAUUCUCGGCACCCCACCCUCCACUCUCCAACCUCCGCCCUCCGCCCCUGGGAGCCUUCCAGGACUGCAGCGAAGGGCGGGGCGGGGCCGUCGCCGCAGUCUGGCUGGGGAUGCUGUGGCCCCGCCGGAAAACGCCCAGCCCCGAGGAUGAGGUCACCGUGCGCUUCUCUUCCUCUCGCCCACUUUCCCAGGCCGCGUCGGGAGCCGCGGACUCAAGCCAACCUCUGCUGCUGGGUCUGGGGUUUGGGGUCAAAGACGGAGGAUGGUGUCGGGGCUCCGGGUUUGAGGAAGUGAGGCAGUGGAAGGGAGGGAGAGGAGAGAAACACGUAAGAGACACGUCAAUUGGUUUCUCUCCGGCAUGAGCCCCAGAACCCAAAACCCAGGAUCCUGCAGAAAAACUCUCUGGGAAAGCUGCCCUAAGUGAAACGGAUCUGUCUUCUGAGCUCCCAGCACUUUUAGCUCAAACCAUCCAGCCCUAAAGCCCAUAAAUCAGUC